rnacentral:rRNA from 1 species
UACGGAGGGGGCUAGCGUUGUUCGGAAUUACUGGGCGUAAAGCGCACGUAGGCGGAUAUUUAAGUCAGGGGUGAAAUCCCGGGGCUCAACCCCGGAACUGCCUUUGAUACUGGGUAUCUGGAGGUCGAGAGAGGCGAGUGGAAUUCCGAGUGUAGAGGUGAAAUUCGUAGAUAUUCGGAGGAACACCAGUGGCGAAGGCGGCUCGCUGGCUCGAUACUGACGCUGAGGUGCGAAGGCGUGGGGAGCAAACAGG